rnacentral:rRNA from 1 species
UGGGGAAUCUUGCGCAAUGGGCGAAAGCCUGACGCAGCGACGCCGCGUGGGGGAAGAAGGCCUUCGGGUUGUAAACCUCUUUCAGCAGGGACGAAGCCACUCGGGUGAACAGCCCAGAGGGUGACGGUACCUGCAGAAGAAGCCCCGGCUAACUACGUGCCAGCAGCCGCGGUAAUACGUAGGGGGCAAGCGUUGUCCGGAUUUAUUGGGCGUAAAGAGCGUGUAGGCGGCCAGACAGGUCCGUUGUGAAAACUAGAGGCUCAACCUCUAGACGUCGAUGGAAACCGUUUGGCUAGAGUCCGGAAGAGGAGAAUGGAAUUCCUGGUGUAGCGGUGAAAUGCGCAGAUAUCAGGAAGAGCACCCGUGGCUAAGGCGGUUCUCUAGUACGGUACUGACGCUGAGACGCGAAAGCGUGGGGAGCGAACAGGAUUAGAUACCCUGGUAGUCCACGCCGUAAACGAUGGGUGCUAGGUGUGGGGGGUGUCGACUCCCUCCGUGCCGAAGCUAACGCAUU